AAGACUAUACUUUUGGGGAUCGUUUCUAUAGUUCAUUACUAGAGAAGUUUCUCUUAUUGUGUAGAGCAACUAAAACUAUAAGGAAGAGGAGCUGGAGCAUCUCUCCUGAGCAUGAAGCCAGUUCUAAGUUUGCUUUUGCAACUGCCUUUUACUGUUGAUGAGCAUUCUUCUCUUGGAAGAAUGAGAGGAAGAGGAUUUAGUUUGAGCGGU